GUCCAUAGGCGGUUUGUCUGGAACUUUGUGGGAGUGCUGAUAAUUGCAAUACCUGAUGGACCAAAUUCCAUUCUGUCGCAUGCAACACCCUGGAAACGAAUGCUGUCCUCCAAAUGCAUAUAUCCUGGAGGCGAUGAGGAAUCCUGUAUGCUGGUGAGAUUUUUCUACAAUAUUAUCGCCGACAUAUGCGAGCCAAUGAUGACAUGCAACAAGGACGCGUAUAUGGGACUCCACAGUUGCAUGCGUCAUUGCGGGAAUGGAUAGGGAAGAGACCCCGAGCCAGCAAAAACUGAGAGACGCCUAUAGCUUUGUCAUUAUACUUGUAUAUCGAAAAGUUCUUAUUACUGUUGCUGUUACUUUAUUUAAUGCGCUGGAGGCCGCUAAUAAAACUAACAUAUGUACGACAAGGGA